rfam:Salmonella enterica subsp. enterica serovar Typhimurium str. LT2, complete genome.
UUUUAUUACUUGUGAGUUGUAGAUUUUUCUUAUGCGGUGAAUCCCCCUUUGCGGCGGGGCGUCCAGUCAAAUAGUUAAUGUUCCUCGCGAACCAUAUUGACUGUGGUAUGGUUCACCGGGAGGCACCCGGCACCGCAAUUUUUUAUAAAAUGAAAUUCACACCCUAUGGUUCAGAGCGGUGUCUUUUUACAU